rnacentral:rRNA from 1 species
UACGUAGGGACCAAGCGUUGUUCGGAUUUACUGGGCGUAAAGGGCGCGUAGGCGGCGCGGUAAGUCACUUGUGAAAAUCUCUGAGCUUAACUCAGAACGGCCAAGUGAUACUGCAGUGCUAGAGUGUGGAAGGGGCAAUCGGAAUUCUUGGUGUAGCGGUGAAAUGCGUAGAUAUCAAGAGGAACACCUGAGGUGAAGACGGGUU